GCUGCGCGGCAGCUGUAGAGCCAGCCAAAGUAGCACAAUUUAAAAUAAAAUUGACUUUAAUCAAACCACGGAUCCGUGAUAAGUUUUAUGUUCCGUCUCACCACUAGUGUAGUAGCACUGAUCAUUUUGAGGGGGGGGGGGGGAAUUUACCCCCACCGGGGAUAAAAAUUAUUAAGCAGAGGCAGGGAUACAUUGACCAGAAACGGGGAAUCCCACGCAUUUCUUUGGCAAAUCGCACCCUGGAUGUAAUUGAGUUUUCGAUGGGUUCAUUAUUCAGUUGAGUUGCUGAAACAAACCAUUUGGACGUGUUAAGAGUUUCAUUGAUGGCGAGUUAACCCAGUCGAAUUCUAGAAGGAAAGAAGAGGAAAUUCAUCUAAUCCAUUCAAGGUUUAUUUCAUCUUCAAAAUAAAAAGCACUUUGAGUUUUCAACUGUUCUACAAUUUAGUGGACACCAGUAAAUACUUACCUCUGGAACUGAGAACUGAUCAGUAUUAAGAACUGCCCUAGUUGGAACUGUAUUGAAGUGGAUGGUAUUUUACCAUUGCUGUUCUAACUAGUAUUUUACUGAAAAUAAAUCUGAUAUUAGUCAAGGUUGAAAAAAGGAGUGCAAUUUUCCUUUCAAGGAAAAUGCCUAUAAAAACAAGGGGGAAAUGUUUAUAAACAAAUUACUUACUUCACAAGCAGUCUCUUGUCAUUCAUCAGUAUUAACCCCUACCUCCCUAGACAAACUAAGUAUCUUCUAUAUUCAUUGCCAGUGAAUCAGUCUAUUAAUCUAUCUAUCUAAUACAUCCA